CAUGAAACUGAGAGAACUCUGACCUGCAUUUUGCGGGAGAUCCCUUGAUGCAGCAGUGCUGGAUGUUGACUGAUACUUCAGACAGGUGCCCUGCCUGAGAAACACAAGCUUCUACAGGACGUGAUGGUUGAACUAAUGCAGAAGGACCCAGGCACAGAAGAGCUGCUGAGCCGGAGAGGUACUGGAUGCAUCUGCUGGCACAAUGGCAGGCAACGCAGUCCAUCCCGUCUGCAGUUACCCUGCUCACAAACUCCCUGUACUUCAUCUGUAAGCACCACUGUCUGAACGCCUUCAGCUUCUUUUUGGGCUCAAGCUCGAACAGCAGCACCAACCCUCACCCUUGCUGACCGUGGACCUUGAAAAAGAGGAAAGGACAAAGUCUGAUGUUUUGAUUUUUUUCAGAUCUUUCUGAAGGAGAAAUACAGAUGAAAGCAAAGCUCUUUGUGACUGAUUUUUUUUUUUUUUCUUCACUAUCUACUUGAAAGGCAGUGGGUCAGAAUUAAGGCAUUUUUGCUGUGAAGGAAAUGUGUGGGAUGUUGGCUGCAAGCCAGUAGCCACUGACAUCCCUGCUGCACUAGGAAUACUUGAAUGAAGUGGGCGUCAACCUCGGGAGAGCGGGCAGCACUACCUACAUCAGAGGAAAGCCUCUUCAUUGAGAUUCAAGGAGUAAAAGUAUUCAAUGGAGAGAAACCAGUCUGGUAGAUCUUUCUAUGGGGGACUGUGAAAAUGCAAGAAUCAUCAGCCAGUCUGGAAGAGCAUCCUCUAAGGUCCUGUGCCUAUCAGGUCCCGUUUGUUCUGUGAGAAGAGAGAUCCAUAUAUCCCUGACUUCUCUGGCAAUUUUAAAGUUUCAUCUUCUAGUUCUGUUUUCUCAACACAAACAAUGAUGAAAUAACAUCCGGAAGCUUUCAGCCAGUAGUCCUUGCUGCAUCCAGUCUUUUAGUAUUUUUUUCCAAAACCAGAAUAAAAAAUCUCAAGAGUGUCAAA